GACGAACGCUGGCGGCGUGCUUAACACAUGCAAGUCGAACGGAAAGGCCCCUUGGGGGUUAUCCGGUUGGCAACCGGGGGAGUAACACUUGGGUAACCGCCCCUUGAUUUCGGGUAACCUCCAGAAAACGGGGGUAAUAACCGGUAGGGAAUCUUUCUUGCUUGUGGGGGUUGGAAAGCCUCGGCUGUUUUGGAUGGACUCGCGGCUUAUCAGCUUGUUGGUGGGGUAGUGGCUUACCAAGGCUUUGACGGGUAGCCGGCCUGAGAGGGCGACCGGCCACAUUGGGACUGAGAUACGGCCCAGACUCCUACGGGAGGCAGCAGUGGGGAAUAUUGCACAAUGGGCGGAAGCCUGAUGCAGCAACGCCGCGUGCGGGAUGACGGCCUUCGGGUUGUAAACCGCUUUCAGCAGGGGCGAAGCUUGUGGUGACGGUACCUGCAGAAGAAGCACCGGCUAACUACGUG
rnacentral:rRNA from 1 species